rnacentral:tRNA from 1 species
CUAAUCUAUUUUUAUUCAUUAGAUGACUGAAAGCAAGUAUUGGUCUCUUAAACCAUUUAAUAGUAAAUUAG